UACGAAGGGGGCUAGCGUUGUUCGGAAUUACUGGGCGUAAAGCGUGCGCAGGUGGCUUCUCAAGUCAGGGGUGAAAGCCCAGAGCUCAACUCUGGAAUUGCCUUUGAGACUGAGUGGCUUGAGUACGGGAGAGGUGAGUGGAAUUCCCAGUGUAGAGGUGAAAUUCGUAGAUAUUGGGAAGAACACCGGUGGCGAAGGCGGCUCACUGGCCCGUAACUGACGCUCAUGCACGACAGCGUGGGGAUCAAACAGG
rnacentral:rRNA from 1 species